GCAACGGAUCUCUUGGCUCUCGCAUCGAU
rnacentral:rRNA from 1 species